AUUUCACCCCUUUCCCAGGGCCCCAGCUCUGGUAGCUCCCUGCUUGCUUCCCCGUGCAACAGACAGUCAUUCUCACCUGCUGAGUCCCUCCUACAGCCCCGCAUCCCCCCAGGCAGCCUGCCACAGGGGGAGGGGGGAGACAGCUUGGAGGACAGCCUCCUCACCUCUGCCCACCUCCAUCCAGCUUUCUCUCCGGGGGCAGCGGGCUGCUGGAUCCGGUGAGACAGGUGUGCCAAGCACAGGGAAGCAGGCCGAGGAGGUGAGUGGGGGCUAAAAUCCAGCCCACAUUCUGUGCCCCGGGCCACUCACCCUGGUUUGGGGUACUGUCUGUCUGGAGGAAUUUUUUAGAAUUUGUACAAAGAUGCUCAGUGGGAUAGCAGCAGCCCUGAGGGUACCACCUGUCUGCCGGUCCUUUUACCUACCAACUAGCUGUCUCUCUGUUCGUUUCCAUCUUCCCAUCCAA